rnacentral:rRNA from 1 species
GGGUUGUGAGGUUAAGCGACUAAGCGUACACGGUGGAUGCCCUGGCAGUCAGAGGCGAUGAAGGACGUGCUAAUCUGCGAAAAGCGCCGGCGAGGUGAUAUGAACCUUUGACCCGGCGAUGUCCGAAUGGGGAAACCCAGUGUGUUCCGACACACUAUCGUUAACUGAAUACAUAGGUUAACGAGGCGAACCGGGGGAACUGAAACAUCUAAGUACCCCGAGGAAAAGAAAUCAACCGAGAUUCCCCCAGUAGCGGCGAGCGAACGGGGAGGAGCCCAGAGUCUGAAUCAGCGUGUGUGUUAGUGGAACGGUCUGGAAAGUCCGGCGAUACAGGGUGACAGCCCCGUACACGAAAGCACACAGGCUGUGAACUCGAAGAGUAGGGCGGGACACGUGGUAUCCUGUCUGAAUAUGGGGGGACCAUCCUCCAAGGCUAAAUACUCCUGACUGACCGAUAGUGAACCAGUACCGUGAGGGAAAGGCGAAAAGAACCCCGGCGAGGGGAGUGAAAAAGAACCUGAAACCGUGUACGUACAAGCAGUGGGAGCACCCUUUGGGGUGUGACUGCGUACCUUUUGUAUAAUGGGUCAGCGACUUAUAUUCUGUAGCAAGGUUAACCGAAUAGGGGAGCCGAAGGGAAACCGAGUCUUAACUGGGCGUUAAGUUGCAGGGUAUAGACCCGAAACCCGGUGAUCUAGCCAUGGGCAGGUUGAAGGUUGGGUAACACUAACUGGAGGACCGAACCGACUAAUGUUGAAAAAUUAGCGGAUGACCUGUGGCUGGGGGUGAAAGGCCAAUCAAACCGGGAGAUAGCUGGUUCUCCCCGAAAGCUAUUUAGGUAGCGCCUCGUGAACUCAUCUUCGGGGGUAGAGCACUGUUUCGGCUAGGGGGUCAUCCCGACUUACCAACCCGAUGCAAACUGCGAAUACCGAAGAAUGUUAUCACGGGAGACACACGGCGGGUGCUAACGUCCGUCGUGAAGAGGGAAACAACCCAGACCGCCAGCUAAGGUCCCAAAGUCAUGGUUAAGUGGGAAACGAUGUGGGAAGGCCCAGACAGCCAGGAUGUUGGCUUAGAAGCAGCCAUCAUUUAAAGAAAGCGUAAUAGCUCACUGGUCGAGUCGGCCUGCGCGGAAGAUGUAACGGGGCUAAACCAUGCACCGAAGCUGCGGCAGCGACGCUUAUGCGUUGUUGGGUAGGGGAGCGUUCUGUAAGCCGUUGAAGGUGUGCUGUGAGGCAUGCUGGAGGUAUCAGAAGUGCGAAUGCUGACAUAAGUAACGAUAAAGCGGGUGAAAAGCCCGCUCGCCGGAAGACCAAGGGUUCCUGUCCAACGUUAAUCGGGGCAGGGUGAGUCGACCCCUAAGGCGAGGCCGAAAGGCGUAGUCGAUGGGAAACAGGUUAAUAUUCCUGUACUUGGUGUUACUGCGAAGGGGGACGGAGAAGGCUAUGUUAGCCGGGCGACGGUUGUCCCGGUUUAAGCAUGUAGGCGGAGGUUCAAGGUAAAUCCGGUACCUUUUAACGCUGAGGUGUGAUGACGAGGCACUACGGUGCUGAAGUAACAAAUGCCCUGCUUCCAGGAAAAGCCUCUAAGCUCCAGGUAACACGAAAUCGUACCCCAAACCGACACAGGUGGUCAGGUAGAGAAUACCAAGGCGCUUGAGAGAACUCGGGUGAAGGAACUAGGCAAAAUGGUGCCGUAACUUCGGGAGAAGGCACGCUGACAUGUAGGUGAAGCCCCUGCGGGUGGAGCUGAAGUCAGUCGAAGAUACCAGCUGGCUGCAACUGUUUAUUAAAAACACAGCACUGUGCAAACACGAAAGUGGACGUAUACGGUGUGACGCCUGCCCGGUGCCGGAAGGUUAAUUGAUGGGGUUAUCCUUUGGGAGAAGCUCUUGAUCGAAGCCCCGGUAAACGGCGGCCGUAACUAUAACGGUCCUAAGGUAGCGAAAUUCCUUGUCGGGUAAGUUCCGACCUGCACGAAUGGCGUAAUGAUGGCCAGGCUGUCUCCACCCGAGACUCAGUGAAAUUGAACUCGCUGUGAAGAUGCAGUGUACCCGCGGCAAGACGGAAAGACCCCGUGAACCUUUACUAUAGCUUGACACUGAACAUUGAGCCUUGAUGUGUAGGAUAGGUGGGAGGCUUUGAAGCGUGGACGCCAGUCUGCGUGGAGCCAACCUUGAAAUACCACCCUUUAAUGUUUGAUGUUCUAACCUGGCGCCGUAAUCCGGCGUGGGGACAGUGUCUGGUGGGUAGUUUGACUGGGGCGGUCUCCUCCUAAAGAGUAACGGAGGAGCACGAAGGUUGGCUAAUCCUGGUCGGACAUCAGGAGGUUAGUGCAAUGGCAUAAGCCAGCUUGACUGCGAGCGUGACGGCGCGAGCAGGUGCGAAAGCAGGUCAUAGUGAUCCGGUGGUUCUGAAUGGAAGGGCCAUCGCUCAACGGAUAAAAGGUACUCCGGGGAUAACAGGCUGAUACCGCCCAAGAGUUCAUAUCGACGGCGGUGUUUGGCACCUCGAUGUCGGCUCAUCACAUCCUGGGGCUGAAGUAGGUCCCAAGGGUAUGGCUGUUCGCCAUUUAAAGUGGUACGCGAGCUGGGUUUAGAACGUCGUGAGACAGUUCGGUCCCUAUCUGCCGUGGGCGCUGGAGAAUUGAGGGGGGCUGCUCCUAGUACGAGAGGACCGGAGUGGACGCAUCACUGGUGUUCGGGUUGUCAUGCCAAUGGCAUUGCCCGGUAGCUACAUGCGGAAGAGAUAAGUGCUGAAAGCAUCUAAGCACGAAACUUGCCCCGAGAUGAGUUCUCCCUGAGACUUAGAGUCUCCUGAAGGAACGUUGAAGACGACGACGUUGAUAGGCCGGGUGUGUAAGCGCAGCGAUGCGUUGAGCUAACCGGUACUAAUGAACCGUGAGGCUUAACCUUACAACGCCGAAG